rnacentral:lncRNA from 1 species
UGCAACAGUCUUCAUUUCCCCAGGAUUAGUCACAUAUGUUCGUGCAUUAAUAGUAGAAACAGGUACAUCUCUAAAAGGCUUAGGAGGUCCUUUAUUCAGAUUCAAAACCUCCUCCAUAGUCUCCACUGGAACUGCUGCAUGUGGUGUAUUUGAUACACCAGCAACCACAACAGUCCUAUCCACUACAUGUUGAUCUGCAUCACCCUUAUCAUUCACAGUAGGUUGUGUAGUCAUAGAAUCAGCAAUCUUUUUCGUGACAUGCUUUAUAAUACCAUGUUGCACAGCUGAGUCAAUUCGACCACCAAACUCCUUCAAGCCUGCAUUAUUUUCCACAUUCACUCCUUCUGCAAUUUGUAAAUUCAGUUGAGAGACUUUUGUUAAUUCAACUCUUGCGAUACCAUCUUUUUCCUUUUAAUCCUUAGCAACUUGUCC